AGUGAACGCUGGCGGUAGGCCUAACACAUGCAAGUCGAACGGCAGCACAGUAAGAGCUUGCCCUUACGGGUGGCGAGUGGCGGACGGGUGAGGAAUACAUCGGAAUCUACUUUUUCGUGGGGGAUAACGUAGGGACACUUACGCUAAUACCGCAUAUGACCUACGGGUGAAAGCAGGGGAUCUUCGGACCUUGCGCGAUUGAAUGAGCCGAUGUCGGAUUAGCUAGUUGGCGGGGUAAAGGCCCACCAAGGCGACGAUCCGUAGCUGGUCUGAGAGGAUGAUCAGCCACACUGGAACUGAGACACGGUCCAGACUCCUACGGGAGGCAGCAGUAGGGAAUCUUGGGCAAUGGGCGCAAGCCUGAUGCAGCCAUGCCGCGUGAGUGAAGAAGGCCUUCGGAUUGUAAAACCCUUUUGUUAGGAAAGAAAAGCAGCGGGUGAAUACACCGCUGUUCUGACGGUACCCAAAGAAAAAGCCCCGGCUAACUUCGUG
rnacentral:rRNA from 1 species